GCCGGAUCAUGGGAGUUGAUCCCAGUAUUCAACUUGGCUUGGCACAGAGGAUCCGAUCCGAACCAGGUUAUGUCGGAGUAGUGCAAGGCGCAAGAGAGUUCGCUGGCAGAGUGAUCCCGCCUCCCCUUAGGGACAAAACAGGACCCUUACUUGAGUUGGUUUUGCUGAUAAGGUUUGGGUCAAGGAAGACGACAACGACGGUUAUGUCGUCGUGGAAAUGGCGUCGGACCCCUCGAUCAAUUUUCUUGAGAUCAGAGUACCGCA
rnacentral:misc_RNA from 1 species